rnacentral:rRNA from 1 species
UGGGGAAUUUUGGACAAUGGGGGAAACCCUGAUCCAGCCAUCCCUCGUGUGUGAUGAAGGCCUUCGGGUUGUAAAGCACUCUUUGCAGGAAAGAAACGUCAUGGGUUAAUACCCCGUGAAACUGACGGUACCUGCAGAAUAAGCACCGGCUAACUACGUGCCAGCAGCCGCGGUAUUACGUAGGGUGCAAGCGUUAAUCGGAAUUACUGGGCGUAAAGCGUGCGCAGGCGGUUCGGAAAGAAAGAUGUGAAAUCCCAGAGCUCAACUAUGGAACUGCAUUACUAAAUACCGGGCGUGAGGGUGUCGGAGGGGGGUGGAAUGCCGGGGGGAGCAGUGGAAUGCGUAGAUAUGCGGAGGAAAACCGAGGGGGAAGGCAGCCUGGUGGGAUAAGACUGACGAGCAUGCACGAAAGCGGAGGGAGCAAACAGG